ensembl:piRNA 21ur-1649 ncRNA
UAGACGAUUGGUUCAAUUUGC